rnacentral:rRNA from 1 species
GAUGAACGCUGGCGGCGUGCCUAAUACAUGCAAGUCGAGCGAACGGACGAGAAGCUUGCUUCUCUGAUGUUAGCGGCGGACGGGUGAGUAACACGUGGAUAACCUACCUAUAAGACUGGGAUAACUUCGGGAAACCGUAGCUAAUACCGGAUAAUAUUUUGAACCGCAUGGUUCAAAAGUGAAAGACGGUCUUGCUGUCACUUAUAGAUGGAUCCGCGCUGCAUUAGCUAGUUGGUAAGGUAACGGCUUACCAAGGCAACGAUGCAUAGCCGACCUGAGAGGGUGAUCGGCCACACGGGAACUGAGACACGGUCCGGACUCCUACGGGAGGCAGCAGUAGGGAAUCUUCCGCAAUGGGCGAAAGCCUGGCGGAGCAACGCCGCGUGAGUGAUGAAGGUCUUCGGAUCGUAAAACUCUGUUAUUAGGGAAGAACAUAUGUGUAAGUAACUGUGCACAUCUUGACGGUACCUAAUCAGAAAGCCACGGCUAACUACGUG